UUCGCCCUUAGAGGGUGCUCUUGGCUCAGGAUGAACGCUGGCGGCGUGCUUAACACAUGCAAGUCGAACGAGAACCAAUGGAAUGAGGAUUCGUCCAAAGGAAGUUGGGGAAAGUGGCGGACGGGUGAGUAACGCGUGAGCUAUCUGCCUUGGAGUGGGGAAUAACGGUUGGAAACAGCCGCUAAUACCGCAUGAUACAGCUAUCCCGCAUGGGGUUGGCUGUCAAAGAUUUAUCGCUCUGAGAUGAGCUCGCGUCUGAUUAGCUUGUUGGCGGGGUAACGGCCCACCAAGGCGACGAUCAGUAGCCGGACUGAGAGGUUGGCCGGCCACAUUGGGUCUGAGACACGGCCCAGACUCCUACGGGAGGCAGCAGUGGGGAAUAUUGGGCAAUGGGCGCAAGCCUGACCCAGCAACGCCGCGUGAAGGAAGAAGGCUUUCGGGUUGUAAACUUCUUUUCUCAGGGACGAAGAAAGUGACGGUACCUGAGGAAUAAGCCACGGCUAACUACGUGCCAGCAGCCGCGGUAAUACGUAGGUGGCAAGCGUUAUCCGGAUUUAUUGGGUGUAAAGGGCGUGUAGGCGGGAGCGCAAGUCAGAUGUGAAAACUCAGGGCUCAACCCUGAGCCUGCAUUUGAAACUGUGUUUCUUGAGUGCUGGAGAGGCAAUCGGAAUUCCGUGUGUAGCGGUGAAAUGCGUAGAUAUACGGAGGAACACCAGUGGCGAAGGCGGAUUGCUGGACAGUAACUGACGCUGAGGCGCGAAAGCGUGGGGAGCAAAAAGGAUUAGAUACCCUGGUAGUCCACGCCGUAAACGCCCUAAAGGGGGUUGGGGGGACUGACCCCCUCCGUGCUGCAGCUAACGCAAUAAGUAUCCCACCUGGGGAGUACGAUCGCAAGGUUGAAACUCAAAGGAAUUGACGGGGGCCCGCACAAGCGGUGGAGUAUGUGGUUUAAUUUGAAGCAACGCGAAGAACCUUACCAGGUCUUGACAUCGUGCGCAUAGCUCAGAGAUGAGUGAAGCCCUUCGGGGCGCAUAGACAGGUGGUGCAUGGUUGUCGUCAGCUCGUGUCGUGAGAUGUUGGGUUAAGUCCCGCAACGAGCGCAACCCUUGUAUUUAGUUGCUAUGCAAGAGCACUCUAGAUAGACUGCCGUUGACAAAACUCAGGAAGGUGGGGAUGACGUCAAAUCAUCAUGCCCCUUACGACCUGGGCCACACACGUACUACAAUGGCGCGCAACAGAGGGAAGCAAAACAGCGAUGUGGAGCAAACCCCUAAAACGCGUCCCAGUUCAGAUUGCAGGCUGCAACCCGCCUGCAUGAAGUCGGAAUUGUUAGUAAUCGCGGAUCAGCAUGCCGCGGUGAAUACGUUCCCGGGCUUUGCACUCACCGCCCGUCA
rnacentral:rRNA from 1 species